rnacentral:lncRNA from 1 species
AUGAUUCUGGAAUUCUCUGAUCUUGCUGGCUCGUUCUCCAGUCACAGUCCAAAGUGCUGUCAUCACUCCACGAGGAACUCUACAAAUCUCAAUGGCCUUGAGGACCAUAAGAAUUCAGCACAAGACCAGCAUCACAAACACAACAUUUUUACUCCUGGCUAUUCCUCCUCUCCAACAGAACUGGAAGAUAAGAGAAUGAAAAAAAAAACAAGUAUGAGAAAAAGGAGAGGAAGGAAUCUGUCUUGCUUACCAGCCUUGAAAGCUGGUAAGACUAGAUUGGCUUCUUAGUGCAUAUAAUUUUUAAAUGGUUUUAAUUGUCACCUGAAAUUUCCAGUCAGUCUGUAAAAUUACCUGGUUCAUCUAAAAGCAGGCAUGCAAGGUGCUCCCAGGGAUUUAUCACCAAAUGAAGUAAUUCUGUAUUGCUAUUGAAAGACUUCUUACACUAAAGAGGUGAAAUUAUUACAACCCCUCCAAUUUGCCGUUGUACCUGUCUUGUCACUAACCUCAAACCCUGCAUUUUGAGAAUGUUACUGGAUACAGAAAAAAUGAGCUUGAAAUUCUCUGAGAAAAAGGAGAUAACCUUUCAGAUGUGCUCAGUCAGAGAACCAACUCUAACAUUUGGAUGUAUCUUGUGAAUUUUGGCUUCUGAAGUAAUUGAACCAGAGAACAAAAAACUUCAGAAAUAGCUUUGCAAAAUACUGGAAUACUGGAAAUUCUCUGCAGCAUACUGAUGGAAACACAAAAUAUGAAUAUUCAAUCCAUGUUUACAUAGGUUUAAUUAAACAGAACAUAAAUUACACAUUUAACAGCAGCAUAUGAUGGCUCCAUGGCUGCUGGAGGGUGUGUGCAGUGCCCUUGUAUUGACCACAUGUGGUAAAACUUGGCAGAAAUGGCCACACUGGGGAAGGCUGUUAAAGAAGUGACUCACAGAAUUCCUAAGGAAAUACUAUUUAUUGAUUUGUCUCUGUCCAAUAGAUUACUUCUUUGAAGACAUGAAAUUUUUUCUCAGAAUUCAGAAUUUACUUUCCUGACAGUGGGAUUUACUACAAAAUAAUCAGCAUGCUUCUGCUUUUUUUUGUGUUUUAAAAGUGAUGGUUAAUGGCAUACUUAGGUAAUACUGCCUCCCUCAUCUGGCCUGAUUUCUAAACUUUGUGAGCAUAUUUAUAAAAAAAAAGAAUUUAGCUUUUUUCUUCCCCUUAUAAAGGCCAGUAGCUGCCUUGAAUAUGUGUAAGCAGGUUAGAUG